AUGUUUGUAGUGCGUAUUCUUCGGGACAUGAAAUAAAUUCUUAGGAAAAAAAAUCUCGUUUAUUAAACGUACAAAACAAUUUAGUGUCUAGUGUUCUAGUUCAUCAAGUUUUUAAAAACGUUCGAAUGCAAUCUCAUUAUCAUUCAAUCGGUUCUAGUACUUCUUAGACUACUCGUUACAUUCAAAACAUAUACAUUGGUAAUGCAUUAAUCGGUUUUUAUAUCUCCUCAAGCGUUAAAAAUGCUACAGCUCACAGUUGCCGUGCAGAAAAAAACUGUAAAGAAAGAGUUGAAAGAAACAAGAACUAAUAUUUAAGAAGGAGCAGAUUAAUCUCCUUUGGAUUUUAAUGAACACAUUAAAUUGAUUAUCAUAUUGCUA